rnacentral:rRNA from 1 species
CUUGUCUCAAAGAUUAAGCCAUGCAUGUCUAAGUACAAGCGAAAAUAAAGUGAAACCGCAAAAGGCUCAUUAUAUCAGUUAUGGUUCCUUAGAUCGUAUCCACAAUUACUUGGAUAACUGUGGUAAUUCUAGAGCUAAUACAUGCAAUUAAAGAGAAACCAGUAAAAUGGGAUCUCUGCUCUUAUUAGAUUUAAACCAAUGGGGAAUGCUUCGGCAUUCUCAAAUUAAAUGGUUGAACUCUGGAUAAUUUGUUGAUCGCAUGGUCUUGUACCGGCGACGGAUCUUUCAAAUGUCUGCCCUAUCAACUAUUGAAGGUAGUGUCUUGGACUACCUUGGUUGCAACGGGUAACGGGGAAUCAGGGUUCGAUUCCGGAGAGGGAGCCUGAGAAACGGCUACCACAUCUAAGGAAGGCAGCAGGCGCGUAAAUUACCCACUCCCGGCACGGGGAGGUAGUGACGAAAAAUAACAAUACAAGACUCACAUCCGAGGCCUUGUAAUUGGAAUGAGUACAAUUUAAAUCCUUUAACAAGGAUCAAUUGGAGGGCAAGUCUAGUGCCAGCAGCCGCGGUAAUUCUAGCUCCAAUAGCGUAUAUUAAAGUUGUUGCGGUUAAAACGUUCGUAGUUGAACUUGUGUUCCGCACGGGCAGUACCUAGGACUAGGUAACUAGGACGGUACGUUGUCUUAUCUUUCCAAUCUUUCAUCGGAUUUGGAAAAAGUGCGUGAACGUAUUAUCGGCGUGCUCGUUUCAUAUUAUGGAACGUUCACAUAAGCCCAUUUCAGUGCUCUUCAUCGAGUGUUGCUGUGGGCCGAUACGAAUUACUUUGAACAAAUUAGAGUGCUUAAAGCAGGCUUGUAAUGCCUGAAUAUUUUGUGCAUGGAAUAAUGAAAUAGGACAUCUGUUCUACUUUCAUUGGUUUUUUAGGCCAAGAUGUAAUGAUUAAUGGAAGCAGUUGGGGGCAUUAGUAUUACAACGCGAGAGGUGAAAUUCUUAGACCGUUGUAAGACUGACUAAAGCGAAAGCAUUUGCCAAAGAUGUUUUCAUUUAAUCAAGAACGAAAGUUAGAGGUUCGAAGGCGAUCAGAUACCGCCCUAGUUCUAACCAUAAACGAUGCCAGCUAGCAAUUGGAUGUAGCUACUACUAUGGCUCUUUCA